CCAUAAUUAUCAACAAUGGUUCGUACUUUUUUUGUGCUAACCUAUCAUAAUUGGUACACUUUAUUAUACUACAUGAUAUAUCCGUAUUGCACCAUAUCCUUUACAUCCAUGAUUGAUACAUAAAUGAUGCUCCUCCGAAGUAAUUUUCGUAUGCUUAUGACUAGCUUCCUCGGCUCAUAACAUCCAUGAUUGAUAUAUAAAUGAUACUCCCCCUAAGGAAUUUUCAUAUGCUUAUGACUAGCUUCCUUGGCUCAUAGCAACCAUGAUUGGUAUAUAAAUCAUGCUCCGCCGAACUCGUGCAACGCACGAGCCGCCGUCU
rnacentral:lncRNA from 1 species